UACGUAGGGUGCGAGCGUUUGUCCGGAAUUAUUGGGCGUAAAGAGCUUGUAGGUGGUUUGUCGCGUCUGCUGUGAAAUUUCGGGGCUCAACCCCGAACUUGCAGUGGGUACGGGCAGACUAGAGUGUGGUAGGGGGAGACUGGAAUUCCGUGGUGUAGCGGUGAAAUGCGCAGAUAUCAGGAGGAACACCGAUGGCGAAGGCAGGUCUCUGGGCCACUACUGACGCUGGAGAAGCGAAAGCAUGGGGAGCGAACAGG
rnacentral:rRNA from 1 species